rnacentral:tRNA from 1 species
GGAUGUGGCUCAAAUGGUAGCGCGCUCGCCUGGCAUGUGUGAGGCACUGGGUUUGAUCCUCUGCAUCACA